rnacentral:lncRNA from 1 species
UUUGUAUUGGAGAAGCCAGCCAACAACAGAGGAACCAAAAUCUUUAGGAAACCUUUAUUCCUUCCAAGACCUUGGUGCCGUUAAAUUUGUAGACUCUCUCCACAAAUCACAACCACCAUUGUCUUGCUGUCACACUCCUCAUUUGUCCGUCGACUCCGACUCCUCUUUGUCGAGGUGCCCACUCAACCAAGGAACCCCCAAAGAAACCCAGAAGAUUGAGCCCUAACUCCAUCUCGUUCUAUUAGAACUCCCAUUUUCCUUAAUGGCAGCAACAAGAUCUCUAUUAGGUAAAGUUCUAUUUUGUUUUGGUGUUGGAAUCUCAUUUAUUGCUUUUUUUUUUUUUGGAAGGGAGAUGAGGAUCUUGGAUAAGCAUUUUGAUAACCUUGAUCUAGCACACGAGCUUAAGUUUUUGCUCGAUCUUUGGUUUGCAGUGUUAAUCUUUUGUUUGAUAUUUGCUUUUUGUAUAUUUGUUUCUCAUUUUCUUCAUAACCGAGCUUUAAUCUCAAAUGCCUAGUAUAAUUAGUGCUUAUGAAUCUAACUACCUUUUAUUUUUUUUUUGUUGUAAAAUUUAACCGAUCCAAUGUUUCAACUUCCGUUGAAAAUAAAGUUUUCAUCUGUUAUUUUUUCAUUUGCUUUGGUAUGACACAUAUGGGUGUUGAUUAUAUAUUAUUGUGGAAUUAUAUUUUUAUUUUCAUUUUCAUUUUCACAAUUGGAUACAAAGGCUUAUUUUGAUCUUCUUGCAAGUCGGAGAGAACAUGAGGAACCAAAAGAUGCAACAAAGGGCAGAGAUGUGUUUAAUGAAAAGCCACCUACUGAACUCUUGGCUAUAUUAGAUAUAGGAAGAACUGUGACAUCUCUUCCAGAUAAUAUCGUUAGUGGUUUUCCUCUAAGUGAUUUUAUUGCAUUUGAAUUUCCAAUCGGCCUACAAAUUCAUAUAGAAUCGGAAAGAGAUUUUUUUUUUUAAUUUCUAAUUUCUAGAAAGAGGAAAUACCAUGAAAUAAAGCAGAAUGACCUAUGGAAGUGGCGCAAAAGGCUCAAAUUUUGUAGCUUUAUGUUCUAAGUAUAGGUUCAUUUAGAGUGGGUGAAGUGUACAAAAUGAGAAAAUAAAGUUAAAUGUUGUUGGAUUCCUUCUUCGAUUUUCUCUCUAUAGUUUAUUGGGUUAUUGUCUUCUUUAACUUCCUCUGUAAUCUUCAGGCUAACCUUAUGAAAGGAAUUAUCAUUUACAAGUAUUGUACAUGAUAUAAAUUUGUAUAGACUAUUUUUUCUUUAUUUAUAUUAUUCCGAAAGUCGACUGUAAACUGCAUCAAACUUUAUGAACAAAGAUUUAUACUUUGGAAUUGAAAUAACAUACUUUGAAACUUUUGUUGAAAUUUUAUCUUUCGGUUUUUCAAUGUUAUAUGAAGUUAUUGUGAUUUUCUUUUUCUAAGCCACUAUUAAGAUGUGUUAUGAAUGAGAAAGAUAUUGUUCAAAUGUAAAUUUCGUUUUUGUUAGAUAGAAAUUUGGGUAUAUAGGCUGUUACAGUAAAAGAGGAAGGGUAAAAUAAAAAACUUGCUAACUUAUGUAUUGUAAAAAUUUUAUGGAAGUUCUUAAAGCUUUAGGAUGUUAAGGAUUGUAGUAGAUCGAGACACAAAAGUUUGGUUGAGUAGGUUAGGUUGUUUGAAAUGUGACUUGCUUAAUGUUUUGGACUUUUGAAGGAGAUGAUUCAUAAUACUGAUGUAAGCUUAUUUCGUUGGCCCUAGCACAUUUUCACUACUACUUUCAUAUCACUUAAAACACUUGUCAUGUUGCUAAUAAUGCCACACCUUUCAGUUUUGUCAUGGCAUCAGUGAAGUAGGGGCAUUUUUUGAGCGAUUGAAAAGAGAGCUUCAAGCUUUGGAAACGGAAAAUGUGCAUGUAAUUUUUGAGAACGAGCAUUGGUUAAUGAGGUAACUUUGGAUUUUAAGCAUUAACAUCGAGGUGAUGUUAUUGUGAUCCAAUAAGAUAUUUUUGUUAAUUGAUAAUUUUUGGCUUAUGAGAGUAUUCCCCUGUUUCAUUUUUUUCUCAUGGUUUUGUUAUUGUGUUGAAAUAUUAAUUUUGAGGAUGUGUAUGUUGGCUGAACCACCUUCAAAAUUUGUUUGGUUUAUAAAAAACUAAGUCAUUUGCAACAUUGAAAAUAAAUUUUAUAUGAAUACGAACUGUUCUAUGGGCUAUAUUUUAGAUAUUGAACAAUAUUUUUUCCCCCUAUGAAUGGACAAUUGGACUUCAUUUUUUAUGAUGAUUGCAUUUUGUUUGAAUUUCUUUCCUUUCAAGUUGACAGUAACGUGAGCCCUGAAUGACUUAUUUAGGGAUCGUGCAUGUACUACAGGACCUUCAGAUUGCUACUAAUUGUGUUGAGGACAUGGAUGAAUGGUUAGGCAUUUUCAAUGUAAAACUUCAACAUAUGAGAGAGGACAUAAAAUCGGUAUGCAUCUUCCCACAUCGUGCUCUCAAUUGAAAAUGUAUAUUCUUGUGUCGUCUUGUGAUUUUGCUCAUAUACAUCAUGCUAGUUAUAAAACUAUAUGCUUCAUAGAGUGUUCGUCUGAUUCCAAUUUCAGAUACACUAUUUAAUGUUCGAUUUUUUUUUGAGGUUUUAACAAAUCAUUCCCAAACAACCAGGAUAUUUCAUGAUGUUUGGUGGCUGAUUUGUGAGGUUUCGUGAUGAAAGAGACCAACUUCAAGUCAUGGCUGAGAUGAAUGGAAGACCCAUAGGAAUUAACUCGGCUACUAGCAAACAAAAAGUGGGUGGUCACGCUAAAGCUAUGAUUUACCUUUCAUCCUUGUGGUAUGUUAGUUAGCUUAUUACUUGGCUGCACCAAAUUGACUCAAACUUGCUGAAUUAGGUUUGGUUUUUUGCAUGAUGUGAUCUGAUUCCUGAAUCUGGCUGUUUUUGCUUUAGAGAUAUUUUCAAAAAUUGAUGUCUAUUCAACAAUGCUGUUUAAGUAUAUUUCCUCUCAAUUAUGCUCUUGAAUUCUUGAAGAUAAGCACAGCUUACGACUACAUUUCUUUGAAGUACUUCACAGUUUUCAGCUUCAAAACUUAAGACUUGCAUAAUCUCAUAAAACUCCAGUCGUCUCAAAGCAAGAUUUAGAAGGCCGUAUCAUAUAGUGGCGUAGAGCUAAUUAAAGCUAAAAUGAUAACACUUUUAGUGCAAGUCAGUUUUAGUUUAAUGUUUCUUACUUUUGGCUCUGAUGAUGAUGGUAAGUUGUUUUACUCAAUACCAUUUUUUUAAAACUCUAUAGAUACUAUUGGACCUGUGCAACCUUGUUAAUGGUGUUCAUAAAAAUUUGUUAUUGUAUUCAAGAAUCUUUGGUGGAGUUGACUAUACUAAUUCCAAAGAUAUUAAAUAUGUUGUAAGUCAUUGUUGUAUUCGUAUUGAAAGUGAAACAUUCUGUGUAUCCAUGAAUUUUUCCAUUCAAUUUGGCAAUUUGUUUUCCUCUUUUUUCAGAUCCGAAAACUUGAUGAUAGGAAGUCUAAGAGCCCUCGGAACAGAAAUUAUAUCCAGAUAUUUAAAAAAAAAAUAAAUAGUUUUUCUCUCUCUCUCUCUUUUUUUUUUUGUAUUAUUUUCUUUUCUUUUAAGUGAUUAAAUUUUCAAAGAAUGUCGAUUCUCCUUAACCAAAAAUAAAAAACCAAGGCAAGCAUUUGGAAUCCAGUUUCUAAUAUUACGUUAGAAAUUAACUUCGAGCCUCUGUAACCUAUACAUCCGUGUAAUCUCAAACGAUUUUCUUCAUAGUGGGAUUUAACUCUCAGAACAUUGUAAUUCAUACAAUUGAAAUCAAAGAAUUCAUGCAAUAAUAUCUUUACGAAAGAAAAUAUCUCUUGAAAAUAAUAAUCUCCUUUUCCUGUGUAAAUCGAUGAAUUCAGGUGAACAAAUACAAGCACAGCCCAUCAAGAAGGCCACGUAGGAACUGCAGUAGAAGCAGAAGUCCUAGAAGGAACAUAAGGUAUUUUUCAAUUUGAAGUAUAUUUGCCCGACCUCUAGGAUAGACUUUAUUUGUUCAUUCAAGUAAUAUAUUCCUUGUGCAGCAAAUAAAUGGAUUUAUCUGUUUCAAUAUCACCAUCAAAAUCUUAUGUUAAACUAUCCAGACAUUCGAUGAAUGUCUCAUCUAAUUUUAUAAUAUGCUUAUGAAUAUAAAUAUAUUGCAAAAAUCAGUAAUUGGUUCUUUGCUUGCAAAAAUCAAUGCCACCAUUGGCAUCUACUUACCUGCUAAACUGUUCGUGCUCAAGUAUAAAAUUCGAGAAAUUAAAUCCAAGGCAGAGCAAAUUGAAACAAUGGUUCAGGAAAUAUGUUGUGACAUUAAGAAAUUGAAUUUUACGAAGAAGCACAUUACAAUUACUGCCCUUUUUUGUAUUACCAUGCUAGAAUAGUCUUUUUUAUUCGAAAAUUUGGACAUGAUAAUUUUGUUGUGGUGAAGCUUGUAAUUCUAUUUCGGAUGGAUUUUGUUGCUCAUUGAACUCCACUAUACUUGAAAAUAACUCUUUUAUUGAUGGACAUGUUCUCUCGAAUGUUUAGUUAAUUCAUUUGACUUGAGUGUCGUUUUGAGAAAUUUAUAUUCUCGCUGUCAUGAUUUAUUAAAUUGCUCAAUUUCCUUGACAAGAACAAACAGGAAUAUGAUAUGAUAAAAAUUCUGCAAGGCACCACAAUCCCAAAAAAGUAAAUUAAUCCAGAGACAAAACAACCAAUUAUUGAAGCAUGUUAUUUUAGCAAGUAAAUGUCGAUUCUUUGCUAUCAAUAAAUCCUAAUUUGUAGCCUUCCUUUCUACAAAGAUCCGUUCUCGGAUAAACCUUGACUUAUAUUAGUACUGAGGACUUCAUUGAAGGAAGUGUGAGCGCUACCAAUAUGCUGAUAAACAUGCAUAAUAUAUAUAUCAUUUGGCUGUCAAAUUUUUAUAGAUCUCUCAUUCUUUUGAUCCUCAGUUGCUACUUGGGUUAAUUUCUCGACUUGUAAAGUUUAGUACCCUUUGUCUUUAUUAAUCUCUUUCGCUGUUAUUAUUAACCCAAAAAUAUUAACACAAGCCUCAAAUGCAUAGCACCUGAAACAAUAACUUGAAAUUUGAAGCAAUAAAAGUCAUUAAAUUCUCAAACCUCAUCUUGCAUCUUUGCCAAGUACAAAACAAAAUGAAAACCCAUUGACGGUGUAAUUAGAUAGGCACCCAUAGUUUUAAUAUUCAAUGCCUCAAUUUGAGUGAUCCAAUUGUUGUUGAUCAGAAGUUGCAUGUAUUUAAUUUUAAAUUCUUCUUAUUAUUGGAUAAUUUGUUUUGUUGUUGUAUACAAAAUUGAUAUCAAGACUAUUUACUCUAUAUGCAUUUUUUCCUUUAUUGGUUUUAAUCUUCGUGAAAUACUAUUAACAAAAAACUAUCUAAACCAAUAGACUAGGCCUUUAUGAUAGUAAGAUGAAACAUGAUAAAUAUGAUAAUUGUAAAUUAGAGGGACUUACUACAUGUACAUCAAGCCUCACAUAAUGGUUUACAUAAUGUUACAUGACACUUUAUUAUUGGACAAUUUUAAACAUAGUUAACUUUUUCAUUCAAUUAUUUCUCUACACAUAAUUUUUGGUACACUUUCUAGAUGUCAUUUUCUGGGCAAAUAGCAUAAUCCAUUGAGGGUUCUACCUAAACCAAUAGAACUAAGCUUUUAAGAUGGUGAGAUGAAACAUGAUAAACAUGAUAAUUGUAAAUUGAAGGAUCCUUGACAAUAAAUAUCUCUAUGUGUGUGUUUGUGGGUGAGUGUAAGAUAGGGCCCUCUACUCAUAAUCACAAGUUGAAUACUUUCAAUUGUAGGUCUUUUUCUUCCUAAUUUUGUUGGCAUUUAUUAAUUUGUAGGCUACCUUUACCACAACUGUUCUGCCCUUGAUAUGAUUAUCUGGUGAAAUGUCAAGGUGCAUAGAAGAGGAAAAUGAAGGAACUUAAAUACAUAGCUUGUGCUUACCUUAAAAAUCAAACUUACAGGGUUAACACAAUGGGUGCUUAUCUAAUUACACCGUCAAUGGGCUUGCAUUUUUUUUUUACUUGGCAAAGAAGCAAAGUGAGGUUCGGUAAUUUAAUGACUCCUUUUGUUUCAAAUUUCACGGAAUGGAAUCUCGCAUCAUAACGAUAAUCAACCCAUUAUCAGAAGAAUCUUGGGUACAUAUUGUUAUCUUGACUGUUCUAUAGAUAGUGUGGAUAAAUUCAAAUUUCACAUUCCUCUUAUAUGAUCCUUUAUGUCUCCUUUGAGAUUCUUUAAUUGUUAGUAUAUAAAUGAACAUGAACCUUUCCUCCUUUCUUAGGUGUAUUUGAAGUUAGUUGUUGGAUGAUUACAACCACAUAUUAAUGUGUCAUAGGAUGUUUUGGGUUCCACCACGAUAAUAUAUUUGGUAAUGCAAAAAUCAACUUAGCAAACCUUAUUCCAUAUUCAUCUGGUCAGCUAUGUAUUUAGAAGCAGGAAGAACUAUAGGUUAGUACAUCCAUAAGAGUUCAGUGCAAUGUUAGGAGUAGCCAAGGAAAAACUGAACGAAUAUUUAGUAUCAUCCUCUUCACAUGUCUCUUUGUAUAUUUUGAAAUGAAUGCUUCAACUUUUUUUUGACUGUAAAAGAUGAUAAUUUAUAAAAACUAGCAUAUGAGAGUGUGUUUUUUAUAUCAAUCAUUUUAUCAGCUUUUGAGUUGUUUCCAUUUCAAAACUGGGUAUAAAUUUUCAAAUAUUUGUUCGUCUUAAUUUUAUAACACAGUUCACACUUAAUUUUAUAAUGCAAUGCACGCUAUGUUUUAAUUCAUAUGGAUCUUAAUUGAUCACAACUAUUUUUAGAAAAGAAAAACAUAUAUAUCGGAUUCAAUAUAUAUAUCAUUACUCCUUCACAUUGAUACUAACAUUAGCUUUUAAUUAACACAACCCGUGCAACGCACGGGCAAAUACUAUACUAUAUUAAAAGAGAGGAUGAUAAGUGUACUGUUCAUUUGUGCACCAUUGUUUUCACAGUUGACUUUUUGUACACUGUUGGUCAUUUGGUUCUUCUACAGUGACAGCCUCAAUUGUUGAAAAAUCACAUUUGCUUCUACAGUAGAGCCACAAUUUAACCGCCAUUCAAUCUCAAGAACAGAAAGAGAUGAUAGUCAACAUCUCAAUUAUUGAGUUCUUUCACAUGUGAGAUUUGGUUUUCAAUCUGGUGCUCCUUCUUCGCACGUCUUCACUUUCCCUUUGUCAUCUUCUCUAUCUUGAUUGAUUUCCACAAACAAAAUCACAAGCUUGAAAUUGGUUUCUCCUUCUUCGGUGUUUGGUGGGUUGCAGGUACUUCUAUUCUACACUUUUUUUCUAUUCUCGAUCAAAAUUCAAGAUUUUAAUUUUAUCAAAUCGAUCAAGUUUAUUUAUGUAAUUUCUCUUUCUUGCUUUUAGUAUUUACUAUUAUUUAUACAAUCUCUAAUUAUUUUGUACUGGUAAAAUGGUCUCCAUUUUGGGUUCUUUUGACCAUCCACUCUCUACAUUUGAAAUAGCCAUGCAUCCACUCAAGUGAUUUUUUUCAAAACUUGCUCUUAUAAUAGAUUUGGGUUAUGCCUAGUUCGAUUUUCUGAUUUCUUUGUGGUAAUCAAUGGAAAUCUCGAAAAGAUAUUGAAAAAUGAAAGAAACCUAAUAUCCAAUUCUCUAUCUAAUUUCUGUUACUAUGUUUUCUUUUUUGUUACUAUCAUGGCGACUUGGUGCUAAUUUACCGAAGAGUGAACAAGGAAGAAAUACGUUUUUGAGCUGAGUUUGGUGUAAAAGAAAUUACAUUUGCUUAAUUUUACCAUGGAGAUUGUUUGAAGAAUCUAAAUUUUAUGGGGAAAAUACUAUCUUUUCGUUGUUUGUGAUCAAAUAAUAACAGCAAUUCUUGAAAAAUGAGAAUGAGCAACAAUUAAUUUCCUAAUUUUGCUUAAACAGCUUGGAAUUUCUAAUAUUACCUUCAACAAGAUAAUUAACAGGGUUCCCAAUAUCCAUUUUGUUCCAUGAGUUUGAUGUCGUUUGGAAGUUUUUCCAAAUUCUUCAAAACUUCAUCAACUUUUUUCUGAUGUGAAGUUUCCUUACUCUAAAUUCUAGCUUGGAAGGGUACCAUAUCGAUGUUCACUACACAAAAAAGGGGCUUUUGCAGUAGUCAAAAAAAAUGCAGCAAAAGGUCAUUUACAUCGUUUUUGCGUGUGUUGCGGGGUUGAUAUUGCCAUUGAAGGAAGAGAUACAACAACGUUUAUUCACCAUUACAAAAGUUCAAUUUUUGCAAUGCUUAAAAACUGUUGCAAAAGAUGCUUUCGCAAUGUUUUUUCAACCUUGGCUUUAACAUUUUCGCAACGUUUACAAAAGUUAUCUUUAGCAACGUUUACAACACAUUGCGAAAAAUCAAACGUUGCGAAAAGUUAUCUUUUCACAACGUUCAAUAAAUGCCGAAAAUCGUAACUUAUCGCAACGUUCAAUAAAUGCUACAAAAAAUGAUUUUCACAACGUUAUCUUUUCGUUGUUUAAUAAACGUUGCAAAGGGUGACAUUAGCAAUAUUCACUUAAAAAGUGUUUGAUAAAGAUGAGGNCGGUAUAAAAGAUCUAAUAUCACUAUUUUAGGGUUUGUCAUUUGUUCGAUGGGACCUACAAAAAAAUGGAAAAAUAGGAAAGAAAAAAAGUCCCUUUGUUUUGGAAAUUAAAUUUUGCCCCCUGAUGUCAAAUCUCAAUUAUUAACACCAGUGGAAACAUUCAUUUAUUAAAAUGUUGCAAUAAACCAUUUUAGCAACAUUUGAUUGAUGAAUGUUGCAUGUUACAUGUUGCAAAAAUAAUAUUUUGUUGUAGUGGUUGAUGGAAAACAUGACCUCAUUUCCUUACCACCCUGUAAGUCAUGACUAUUGAGGAUCUAGGGUCUUGUGAUAUAUGGGACUUGCUCAAGUGUUCAACUAAUGUUCUAAGGAUUCACAUUUCAAGAUGCCACUGGAUUAUCUUUGAUGGGAGACAUUAAUGUCCAUUCUGUUUUCGCUGCUUCCUUGCCCACAUCACACCCUGGUUUUGCACCUCAAUAGAAUCUUCAUUGAUCUAACGGAUGGAAGGCUCCACUUAUUCUAGAAAGGCUGGUUAACUUGAUCGUUGGUAUUCUUUCAGCAGGCAUCCACUUUGUAGAACGUAUGGUUGUCAAGAAGUCUUGGAUGCAGUACAAGCUAAUAAAAUCUUCAAAUAUGUCGCUUAUUUCUUUGUUGCACUGAUAGGUGAACCUUUUAAUAGCAUGUAUACCACAAAUGUAACCUCUUUUAAUUCUUUCGUUGAAAGCUUCUGAGAUUUAUUCAAAAGAAUUUCUUCUGAUAGCAUGCAAGACAUGAAGUGAGUAUGGAGUUAAAGAAAGAAAUUGACUUUUUCAGAGGCAUUGUGAUAGCACCAUACAUGCAUAACUAUGACAUUGUUGUUUUAAAGACAACUGCAAUAUGUAAAUAUGGAGUGAUUUGUGGAUUCAUUGAUAAAUUAAGGUUUGAAAUUAUGUUUGUACUCGACUGAUUUUAUUUUGUAAUUUUGCAGUUUAGAAGAGCUUUCGCAAAAACUGACGACACAUUUGCCAGAGUGGACGCCGUUCUUAUGGAAGCGAAGAAAAUGUUUGAGACCAAGUGCUUGUACAUUGGUAUUAUGAAUUAUUAUCUUAAGCCUAUGCAAAGUAAUAAAUGAACAGUGACGUAUGAGGUACUAUUACAAACGUUUGACUUUUUAAUCUUUACAGUUGAUUUACUUGUUUUAUUUGUCAGUAUACGACUUAUAUGCCCGUAGUCAAUGCCAUUGCAAUUUAGGGUACUAAUUUAUUACUUGAGGACAAUGGUCUAUAAACCCUAAAGAUUGUUUCAUCUUAAUAUUCUUAUUCAUAUUUACUAACCCAUUCCAUUAGUUGACUUAGUGGUGAUAUUGAGUCCAAUUUUAAUUCAUUUUAAUAAAGAGCCAAUCUCCUACAAAGCUAUGUGUAUUUAUCAUACUAUUGAAUCCCAUUUGAUGCCAUUAGCAUCAUUAAUGGCAUCGAGUAGACUUAUGUGCAACUUGUGUUGUUUACAAAACCAACAAGGGAAACCAAGUUUGCAAGAGUUCAGUAGAACUAUUGGGGAAAAUGAUUUUUUCAUUUUCUCACUAUUUUAUAUACCCUCUUUAAGUAUGUUCUGAUUUUGAUAGAAAUUUUUGCACUUCUAUAAUAAAUGAUACUACAAAUUCAAAUUCUUUAGCAUUAGUUGCCUUAUAUAAACAUCAUUUAAAGAUAUCUUUUAGUGUCAUUUAUUUAGACUUUCUAUUGCCCAUUGUGAAACCUACUGUGUAUGAAAUGGUCAGCUAAAGCCUAUAUAGGAACUUGGGAUUUGUUGAGAAAUGGGGCAAAUAAUAUGACUACUAUAUUUAGGAGCAAAAGGUUUUGUAUUGGACUUUUUCUUUGCCAUACUCGGAGUAACUCUUUUGAUUAAAUAUAAGUUAAAUGUCAUUAUUAUGUAGUUAUUCUUUUGGUCUUGGAAACUCAUAAAGAGCAUGUUUGUCUAUGCCUAAAGAAAAGCAUAGUUUUGGCUCAAGCAUGUUUGACUCAUUAUUUAUUUAGGGAGUAAGGCUCAUUAUUAUUUAGGUUUGGAAUUGGUUACUGUUCAUUGUUGUAAAAGAAAGAGAAAUAGAGGAAGCUAUUUGUCAUAAUCUGCCAGGUAAUCCAAAAAUAAAAUCCACGUUAGCUACUUGAUCUUCUUCCUUCAAAUAUACACUUACGAAUAACACAGCCAAAAUAGGAAUUAGUAAUUGAGCAGGGGUGCAAACGAUAAGCAAAAAUAAUAACCGCUGACUGUAAUCAAAGUGAAGAGUGAUAUUCUUCAGUCUUGAACUCCUAUAAGUAACACUUGAGUAGUUAGUGUAAAGCGUGUGAGUUCUAACAAAAAGCUUGCAUAUUUGAGUUAUCACUUUGACAUCAUUUUUCUUUAAAGCGGGGAAGAUUAAAAUGGAUGGUGCACUGUUUAGCAGUGUCCACAGGAAUAGAAAACCUCUGGUAAGAUUAGCAUUCUUCUUUGUAUGCUUACAUGGGCUGAUCUCAGUAUUUUGUGUGAAAAUGUUGUCUACUUCUAGACAGAAGCUUUAAGUUCGGAAAAACUUGAACACACUUAAUAUACCUCCGGUCAAAAUCAUUUGAGUCUCUCCCUCUCUCUGUAUAUUUAUUUGUAUGCAUACAUAAAUUAUUGAAUUUCAUAUGAGUUUUUGUUUUCGAUUUAUUCUUACUCUUUGUUGUGAUUUUGUGAAUAUCAUGUUAAGAAUAAGAAGAUUUUGUGUUUAUUUUUUAGGUUUUUGAGCGACAAUUCAAGAUUCAACCAACCACUCAGCUGUAUGAGAAUAAUUCAAUUUCUUCUCUUUUUUCAACUACUAUAUUUUUCUCUUGCACCUCCUUUUUCUUUUUAUUUUUUUGGGUAUUUUCACUUGCAAGAAAUUCUACUUUUGUUUGAUGAUUUUUAAAUAAGAGACUCAAUUUGUUAAUUAUUGUAAUUUUUAAUGCGGAACACAGUCCAAAUGAGGAUACAAUUGACUCUGUGCAUUUAUCUCAUCAACAUGCUUUUAAUUUGGAUCUUCUCAUAUCAUAAAGUAACACUCUAACAUUACCUUAAAAAAAAAAACACAGCUUGCACGGGUGAAUGACUAGUCUAGAAAAGGUAUAAUUUUUAUCAAAAUUUAUAUCUAAGCACAAAGCAGAUCCGUUGUGAGAAUUGAAAUUUGUUUUAUUUUCCAUUGUUCCGAUAAGUAAAUUCCUAAUAGAUUGAAGAUUUUGUUCCAAGUUUUUUACUAACGCUCCUUUUUUUCUUGUCUUUCUCUUAGAUUGUACUAUCAACUUUUAGUUCCCUAGAUCUAGACCAUGAGAGUUUUUUGUUUUGUUUUUUUUUUGGCUUUGGCUUUGUUUGGAGUCUACAUUUUCAAGUUUUGUCAAUUUUUUACUUCAUGUUUUGCUGAAUUUGUUUGGUUUGUGAAAGCUGAUUGUUCUAUUAUACUUGCAAUUCUAACUACCUUAUUUAUUAUUAUUUUUUAGGUUAGACAUGGGUAACGAAUCUUCUAAGCGAACUGUUUAAUUUAUCACAAUGAAAGUCUGUACAAUUAUGAAUCCUCGACAGACGAGAACUUCUCGACAUAUCAGUUAUGUGACCUAUUUGUUGCGAUAAACUAUUGUUUCCCACAAUUUGUUUCAAUUAUUUUUGACAGAUGAGUCAUCCUUCGAUAUGAACUGUCAUUCUCGACAGUUAAAUGCAGUAUUUCUCAAACAUUAUAGUUGAUUUUUUACUUUCUUAUAUGUGUGUUUCGCAUUAACAUCUGAAGAAUUGAAAAUUUUAUAUACACUCGUUUCAUUUCGUAAUAUACAAUCUAGAAAUAUUGAAUUCAUAUCCAAUAGUAUUGUAAUUGUUGUUUUCAAUUAGAUGGAGGAGACAUCAACCCGUGUUUGAAUAGUCAUGAGGGUCCAUGUCCAAUGGGAACCAAGAUGUAAAUGGUAUUUGCGCUAAUUAUGAGGAAUUCAAAAUUUUAAAUAUUCUCAUCUUAUUUUGUUGUUUGCAAAUUAGAAAUAAUAAACUCAUGUCGGUUAGUGUGGCAAAUGUUGUUUUUAAAUGGAUGGAAGAGUCAUAGAGCCCGAAGUGUCAUGCUCGGACAAUGAGAAAGUUCCCUUAGCUUGUAGUGAUGGAGGCAGUCACCACACUCGUCUAAAGCAACAAUGUUGUUAACACAAAUAGGCAAUGAUCGACACACAUUAGAUUUCCUGAAACAUCUACUAGUACUCAAUGUAGCAAGAAGAGAAGAAAGAGAGUAAAGAAAUAGUGUAUUGAAAUUUGUUAAUACUACAUUAAAUUGAUUUGUAACAGUGUACUAAAUGAUCUCAUUUUGCUUCCUUUCAAGAAUGUGGUUAUAAAACAUGAUUUGGUGGUUGCAUUCACAUGUGGUUACACAUUUUAUCAUUUAUCAUUUCUCAUACUUGAUGGAUUGUUCGAUUAGCAAGAGAAAAAUUGUUGAGUUAUGUAUUAUACUUUUGUAAAGG